rnacentral:lncRNA from 1 species
GGGAUGUACUGCCCCUCCUGGCUCUCGGCCUCUGGGGAUGCACCUGGGAUCCGAGUGCAUCCUCGGGUGAGCCCAGCCUUGUGGCCCUCGUCAGUCCUUCUGACCCUGGGCAGCAUGUGCUGGUCUGGCUGAGCUGGACACCCCUGCCCAGCCCUGACUCUGGCCCCUGGCACAUGCAUGUGGGAGGAGCAGCGUCCAGACGAGCUGGCAGACGGGCCCCUUGGGGCCGGGAGAGGAGGGCUGUGCUGGCCCAGGGUCCUGCCGUCGGGAGGAAGCUGCUCCUGUCCUGUCUGCCAGCCUGUUGCUGACAGCUUCCCUUCAACCUCAGCAACCCCACUGCACCUCCCGAGCCCCCCGCUGGCCUUAGUGAGUCCAGGGAAAGGCAGCCUGCACAGAACACAGGCCCUCGGGGCACACCCUCUGGCCUGGCGUGGACCCUGAAGGCAGGACAGGGGUUGGUCGCCCUCCCUCACCACAGGGAGGACCUGGACUCAUGGUCCGGGAGUCUUAGGGAACCAGUAACAAAUGAGCAUAAACUUGUCCCCACAGCGGCGAAAAUCGCGGUAUGCAGAACUGGACUUUGAGGUGGGUGCUGAUGUCCCCCUCCCUGGACAGGCAGGGCACACCCAGCCCCUGACCAGGCAGCUCAGGCCACUGGGGCGGGCAGGGAGGUGGAGUUGGGGCGGUGGCGGGCCUUGUCCCCAGGGGCUGGUGAUGGGCAGCAUGGCCGGCCAGGCCCUGCUCAGGACAGUGGCCUCCCUCUGCAGAAGAUCAUGCACACGCGGAAGCGGCACCAGGACAUGUUCCAGGACCUGAACCGGAAGCUGCAGCACGCGGCCGAGAAGGACAAGGAGGCGCUGGGCCCCGACAGCAAGGUUGGAGGGCGGGGGCGGCACGGGGUCCCGGGGCCUCCCCUGCUGUCCACACCCACUCUGCCCACCUGGUCACUCACUCCUUCACUCAUUCUGCCUCUCCUGAGGACCGGCCUGGUGGGCCCAGGCUGGACCCCGAGGGGCAGGACGCAGCUGAGCCUGGCACGGCGCUCGGGUGUGGUCAGGGUGGGGGCAGGCGGGUUCCCAGCCGCCCUCCCUGCCAGCCCCGGGCCCUGCCAGUCGUAGGGUGAGAUGUGCCGGGGCCCCUCCCUGAAGCCCCUCCUGACCUGGUCUGCCCCCUCUUCUCCCUCCCGCUGCACCCUGCCUCUCGCCCGCGCCCCUGCCACUCGCCCCGCAGCCAGAAAAGCAGCAGACGCCCAACAAGCGGCCCUGGGAGAGCCUCCGGAAGGCCCACGGGACGCCCGCCUGGGUGAAGAAGGAGCUGGAGCCACUGCCGCCGUCGCCCCUGGAGCUGCGGAGCGUGGAGUGGGAGAAAGCCGGAGCCACCAUCCCGCUGGUGGGCCAGGACAUCAUCGACCUCCAGACGGAGGUCUGAGUGGGCGGGCGGCGGCCCGCACUGGGCCAGGAGGAGGGAUCUGCUCUGCCCGCUCCGGCCACAGGACGGGCACAGGCACGCUCACGCGCAGGCCAGGCCUGCACCCCGGCCUCAGGGCACAGACGGCCAGGCAGAGGGCCCGCGCUGGGACCAGAGCCAGACGCAGGACAGGAGGUGGCGCAGCCCGGCAGGCACAGGGCUCCAGAGGCCCAAAGGUGCCUCAGACUCUGCCCUUCUAGGGCGAGCCCCAGCGGGCGGGGGGCUGUGGACAGCGGACAGGCCUGGAUGGGCCAGUGUCCCCAGGAUGCCCACCUGAGACUCCGCUGCAGAGGACCAGCCCGUGUGGCCCGCUGGCCUGGCUCCAUUUUUUAGACAUCCCCCACCCCUGGGGAAGCAGCCAGACCCCCACUCCCUUCCAGGGCCCUGGGCCCCUCUCAGACCCAGGCAGAGAGCACAGCCCUGACCCGAGGCCCCCAGGGGCAGGACUAAGCCCACUUUGGGAAGACACAGGGUGGGGAAUCUAUUUUUUCUCUCCUUUUCUUUUCUUCAAUAAAAAGAAUUAAAAACCCAA